UAGGGAAUCUUCCGCAAUGGGCGAAAGCCUGACGGAGCAACGCCGCGAGAGUGAUGAAGGUCUUCGGAUCGUAAAACUCUGUUAUUCGGGAAGAACAAAUGUGUAAGUAACUAUGCACGUCUUGACGGUACCUAAUCAGAAAGCCACGGCUAACUAUGCGCCAGCAGCCGCGGUAAUACGUAGGUGGCAAGCGUUAUCCGGAAUUAUUGGGCGUAAAGCGCGCGUAGGCGGUUUUUUAAGUCUGAUGUGAAAGCCCACGGCUCAACCGUGGUGGGUCAUUGUAUUCUGGAAUAGUUGAAUGCAGAAGAGGAAAGUGCACUUCCUUGUGUUGCCGUGAAAUGCUCGUAGAAAAGGAGCAACACCCGUGGCGGAGGGGACUUUCUGGUCUGUAACUGACACAGAUGUGCGAAAGCGUGGGGAUCAAACAGG
rnacentral:rRNA from 1 species